rnacentral:rRNA from 1 species
AGCGAACGCUGGCGGCAUGCUUAACACAUGCAAGUUGCACGGGCAGCAAUGUCAGUGGCGGACGGGUGAGUAACGCGUAGGAACGUGUCCUGAGGUGGGGGACAACCCCGGGAAACUGGGGCUAAUACCGCAUAUGGGCUGAGGCCCAAAGCCGAGAGGCGCCUUUGGAGCGGCCUGCGUCCGAUUAGGUAGUUGGUGGGGUAAAGGCCUACCAAGCCUGCGAUCGGUAGCUGGUCUGAGAGGACGACCAGCCACACUGGGACUGAGACACGGCCCAGACUCCUACGGGAGGCAGCAGUGGGGAAUAUUGGACAAUGGGCGAAAGCCUGAUCCAGCAAUGCCGCGUGGGUGAAGAAGGUCUUCGGAUCGUAAAGCCCUUUCGACGGGGACGAUGAUGACGGUACCCGUAGAAGAAGCCCCGGCUAACUUCGUG